rnacentral:rRNA from 1 species
CGGCACGGGUGCGUAACGCGUAACCAACCUGCCCUUGACUGGGGGAUAGCCCGCCGAAAGGCGGAUUAAUACCGCAUAAACCAACAGUGCGGCAUCGCACAAUUGGUAAAGAUUUAUUGGUCAAGGAUGGGGUUGCGCAGCAUUAGCUAGUUGGCGGGGUAACGGCCCACCAAGGCGACGAUGCUUAGGGGACCUGAGAGGGUGAUCCCCCACACUGGCACUGAGAUACGGGCCAG